CUCACGCUGUCCGUGCGGCUGCUGCCGCCUUGCUUGGGUGUGGGUCCCGUAGGCUCGCUGGGACUUGCUCUCUGGGGCCAGGAGGGGACAGCGCGCUGGAAGCCCUUGCCCGGGGCGGGGCUGGAGUCGGGGGCCUGGGAUGUCUCUUGUCUCGGUCUCGCGUGGGGCCAGCGUCAGACCUUAACCCACCCCAGUCUCCGGUUUGGCGGCCUCUUCGCUUCUGCGGAGUCGCGGGGAAGGACUGUCUGGGAGUUCUCAGAGCCCUCACCAGCCUUGCAGUCCGGGGCUCACAGAGAUCCGAAAGUGUGUACCCUUAGCCUUGGGUGGCGGGUUGGCGGCAAGGCAGCCCCGUGUAGUGUAAUAGAGGUCCGGUUAGAAUCCUGUGGGACCUGAGUGUCUACUGCCCUGGCACAGGAGGAGUAAAGCACCGAGAAGAUGGAGCAGCUGGCGAGGAGGGCGAAAAGCAGGAACUGGAGGUGCCCAGGCAAUAAAGGGCAUCGUGUUUCCGGAAGGAGGGAGCUCAACCUGACUUGCUUCUGUAGGGGAGGGGAAAGAAAGGGUAAUUCCUGUUCUGCAGUUACUUUUGGAUAGAAGUAUGCCCUUUUUCCAGUAGAAGAUGGUAAUCUUGGAGAAUGACCAUGGAGAAGGGGAUGAGUUCUGGAGAAGGGCUGUCUCAGAUUUCAGCUGUUAAAGUAACAGCCAAAGACUUGGAAACAAAGCAGCCCCAGAAAGACAGACGAGGGGGCUUUGUGCUGGUGCAUGCAGGUGCAGGUUAUCAUUCUGAGUCCAAAGCCAAGGAAUAUAAACAUGUAUGCAAACGAGCUUGUCAGAAGGCAAUUGAAAAGCUACAAGCUGGUGCUCUUGCGACAGAUGCAGUGACUGCAGCUCUGGUGGAACUUGAGGAUUCUCCUUUUACAAAUGCAGGAAUGGGAUCUAAUCUAAAUCUCUUAGGUGAAAUUGAAUGUGAUGCCAGCAUAAUGGACGGGAAAUCCUUAAAUUUUGGAGCUGUUGGAGCAUUGAGUGGAAUCAAGAACCCAGUCUCGGUUGCAAACAGACUCUUGUGUGAAGGGCAGAAGGGCAAGCUCUCGGCUGGCAGAAUUCCUCCCUGCUUUUUAGUUGGAGAAGGAGCCUACAGAUGGGCAGUAGAUCAUGGAAUACCCUCUUGCCCUCCUAACAUCAUGACUACAAGAUUCAGUUUAGCUGCAUUUAAAAGAAACAAGAGGAAACUAGAGCUGGCAGAAAGGGUGGAAACAGAUUUCAUUCAGCUAAAGAAAAGAAGACAAUCAAGUGAAAAGGAAAAUGACUCAGGCACUUUGGACACGGUGGGCGCUGUGGUUGUGGACCAUGAAGGGAACGUUGCUGCUGCUGUCUCCAGUGGAGGUUUGGCCCUGAAACAUCCAGGGAGAGUUGGGCAGGCUGCUCUUUAUGGAUGUGGCUGCUGGGCUGAAAAUACUGGAGCUCAUAAUCCCUACUCCACAGCUGUGAGUACCUCAGGGUGUGGAGAGCAUCUCGUGCGCACCAUACUGGCUAGAGAAUGUUCACAUGCUUUACAAGCUGAAGAUGCUCACCAAGCUCUGUUGGAGACUAUGCAAAACAAGUUUAUCAGUUCACCUUUCCUUGCCAGUGAAGACGGUGUGCUUGGUGGAGUGAUUGUUCUCCGGUCAUGCAGAUGUUCUGCAGAGGCUGACUCAUCCCAAAAUAAGCAGACACUUCUAGUGGAGUUUCUGUGGAGCCACACGACUGAGAGCAUGUGUGUUGGAUAUAUGUCAGCCCAGGAUGGGAAGGCCAAGGUUUCCGGCAUUAAACCUGGCUUCCAACUCAUUCUGGGCCCAUAAACCAUCCAAGGCUUCUAAAUCACAAUGUAAUUGAGGCUGCAAGCAGUCGCGACUCCUCUGCUGCCUCGGAGCUGACGAAAGUCAACAGAAUCCCAUUCCUAAAGAAAGCAUCGCUGGGAGGAAGUGUCUGCCGCUAGUUUAAAAGCCCAGGAUCUAAAUCUACCUUAAGAUUUAAAAGAGCUCAAAUAAAGAAAAAAACCAACAGGCCAGGAAUGUUCACUCUUUUAACAAUUAAAAGAAAUUGAAAUAUUUUCUGCAACUCCAGGUAAGAUUGCAUCUUAAAGAAAGCUAUACUGGUUAGUUUACAUUCAGAGGAGAAUUUAAUGCAGCAGUUCUUCAGCAGAGAAAGAUCAAAAUAACACCUCUAAGAUGCCACAUCAGAGACAUCUCCACUCCAAAUAGCUUUGCGACUGACUGGCUCUAACAUCUUUACUAAUAAACACAAGAUCUCAUCAUCCAUGCUUGUGGCAAAGAUUUCACAAUGACUGAGGAGGGUGUAGGGCCUCAUUUGUGAACCAGAUGUGUCCAAACUGAAAUCUGAAGAUUCUCACUUGUAAACUCUAAACAGGAUGAUGAAAGUUAAAUGAGAAAGAGCCUUGUGGAAGAAUGAACAUGAAAAAGCUGUUUAUGUAUUUGGACCUCAAAUUUGGGAUGGUUGUUAUAAAGUUUGGGAUUCUUUAUUUACCUGCUGUCUAACUUGGUUCUGACAUUGCAGUUCAGUAAAUAACUGUUGGCUUUUAUCCAUAAUUAAGGGCAAACAAAUUUCCUUUUUUGGGACCCCAAGAGGCAAAUAAUAUUUUAAAAGCAUGUUUUGGUUACUCGGAAAGACUGAAGGAUAAACCAUUCUCACACUUUGGUGGGCGUGUGUGUUUCUGGGAAUAAGCAGCAUGUGAUGGUGGUGUCAGGUGUGGCUAUACUGAGACUUCACUUUCGUACUCAUGUCAGUCAGGGAAAGCAACACUGGCUGGUUUUUUUUUUUAAUAUUUAUUUUAUUUAUUUGAAAGACAGUUACAGAGAGAGGUUGAGCCAGAGAGGCCAGUCUUCCAUUGUGCUGGUUCACUCCCCAGAUGACUGCAAUGGCCAGAACUGAGCUGAUCCAAAGCCAGGAACCAGAAGCUUCUUCCAAGUCUCCCAUGUGGGCGCAGGGGCCCAAGGACUUGGGCCAUCUUCUACUGCUUUCCCAGGCCAUAGCAGAGAGCUAGAUCAGAAGAGGAGCAGCCAUGACUCAAACCAUCGCUCAUAUGGGAUGCCAGCGCUGCAGGUUGGGGCUUUAACCCACUACGCCAGAGCACCGGCCCCAACACUGGCUGUUUUUAAAGAACACCUUCCCACUCCCAAAACUCAAUGGCUUAACACAAUAAAAGUUCAUUUCUUGCUUAUGCAAUGAUAUUUUCAGUAUUUAAAGGUAUUCAUAAGACAUCAUUCCUUUGAUUAAGGGACCCAGACUUCUUUUGUUUAGUGGGUAUACGUGUUCUAGAACAUUCAUCUAGCAGACAAAGGAAGAGGAAAAGAGUAUAUUGAGGGUUGCUCAGGGUAUUUUAAGGACUGGACCACAUGCCAUUGGCCAGCACUCAGUUGCAGGGCAGCAUCCAACCUCAAGAACAGCUGGGAAAUGGAGAUUUUUUUUUUGACCGGCAGAGUUAGACAGUGAAAGAGACAGAGAGAGAGUUAUAGGCAGUGAGAGAGAGGCAGAGAGAAAGGUCUUCCUUCCAUUGGUUCACCCCUCAAAUGGCCACUAUGGCCGGCGCACUGCGCUGAUCCGAAGCCAGGAGCCAGGUGCUUCCUCCUGGUCUCCCAUGUGGGUGCACUUGGGCCAUCCUCCACUACCCUCCCGGGCCACAGCAGAGAGCUGGCCUGGAAGAGGAGCAACCGGGACAGAAUCCGGCACCCCGACUGGGACUAGAACCCCAGGUGACGGCGCCACAGGCAGAGGAUUAGCCAAGUGAGCCGUGGCGCCUGCCCAGAUAUGGAGAUUUCUGUAUGCUUAGGAAUGAUAAUAAUAAAAAAAGUAUGUUGUGUUGCUUCUACAUUGGCGUUAUUUCUGCCAAAACUCUACUCAUUGUCACCAGUUUGUGAACAAAAGCUUCUAGUGUUGUGGAGGAAGUUUAGUAGCAGCCAGCAUUUUUUUCCCCUAUAACUCUGAUAGGAAACAAUUUUAGCUUUGUGGGACAAGAUCAUUCUAGGUGUGGAUUCACCAAACUGUUUGUUAUUUUUGGGCAUAUGGAAGAACUGCAUUUCCCAGCUAGGUGAGGUAAUGUGACUGAAUUCUAGAACCAACUUAUUCAUUUCUAGACCUGGUUCCUGAAGUAUUCCAGGCUAUCCUCCCCCCCUUUUCCCCCAUUCCUCUCCCUUCUUCCCUCUCCUUCUUACCUCUUCCUUUCCUUCCUUUCUCUCUCUCUCUCCCAUCUCCCCCUCCCCUCUGUUCCAUCCCCUCCCUGUUCCCUCUGUCCCCUCCCUUUCUCUCUCCCUCUGCUUCCUCUCCAUCUCCCUCUUCUUUUCUGCUGGUUGGAUGCAAACAAUACAGUUUAAAACUCUAGGGUCUUUUGAAAUGGCAGUCAGUGCAGAGAAGGAACAUUGAUUUCUUGAAUGACCUUGUAGGUCAGAAGCCUCCUUCCUUCCUGCUCCACAAGCCUGCACUGGCAAAAAAAUCACACUUAUUAUGUUAAGCCACUGAAAAUUCACAGGUAUUUGUUUCAGCAGCUAGAGUUGCCCUGUCUAAUAAAAAUAUAUAAUCCUUGAAAUUAAAAUCACCAGCCUAUGCACUUAUUACCUAACUUUAUCUUCUGAACCCUCUGAAAUUUGCAUGCCACUCCUUGAAAAUAAAUCCCCAAUUGAAAAUCAAGGAAACAACCUCAGAGAAGGAAAAUGCCUCUCAAGCAGGUGCCGUGAGUUAGAGCAGGAGCUGGGGCCUGAGCCAAAAUGCCUCAGUUGCAGACUGGCAGAUUUCCAGGAAAGCUGUCCACACAUUUAGUCCACUGGGAACUGCAGUACCAGCUCCUCACAGGGCCAUCAAGUAGCUUAACAGACCCUGCCAAUGUCCUUUAUCACCUUGGCCACACUGAGAGAUGCAAGGCUCCCCCAUGCUGAUCACCUGUGACUCUACCUGAGGGGGUUCUCAGGCCAUAAGAUUACUUCCCUGUUCCCACCCUGCUGGUUGCUGUGAGACCACUGCUGAACUGACGACAGGCAUGUAUGUCCGGUCAAUACCCUGAUUUCCUUCCUUGUUGGUCUAACAGUUGGUAUGUUCUGCAGUCUCCUAGAGGAUCCUCAGAGGGAAUGGACCUCAGUUUCCCCAAACGCUAACCUGCCCAUUAACUCUGCAUCUUGGUCCCUUCCCUCUCACGGUCAUUCCCCCCUUCCAUUUUUGAUAAUUUGGCAAAGAGUUGGCUAUGCACUGUUCCCCCCAGUUCAUAGGCUGAAGCCCCAGUGCCCAGUGGGAUGGCUUUGGAGUUGAUUAAGUUACCAGGGUGGAACCCUCAUGAAUGGGAUUUGGGAUUAGUAAGAAGAGGGAGGCAAGAACUUGCCUCCUCUUUGCGGUGUGCAAGAGCAGCAGAGAAGCGAGAAGACAGCCUCGUGGCACAUGGAACCAGCCAAAACUUUGGUCUUGGACUCCUUGCUUUCAGAACUGGGAGAAAUAAAGGGCAGCAGUUAAUGGUGCUGUUUUAGUCUGCCGGACAGAGAAUAAGGAGAGGCAUGGACAAAGACCUGAGUUGAAGGGGGAUAUGUUAGAAGAGAGUUUCAGGUAAAAUAUUCAUUACUUACAAACAGUCCUAGGGAUAGGAAAGGGCUUGGGAUGUGCCAGGCAUAGAAAUGAGGCUUGCACUGCUGGACUGAGAAGAAGCACAUGGCAGGGUGUGUGUGUGUGUGUGUGUGUGUGUGUGUGCUUGGAGAGGUGGGUGUGAGCCAGCUCCCUAGGGCGUUUGUAUUUAUCUUAAAGAUGGAGCGACAGCAAAAAGACGAAAGAUAAGCAUAGGAGCGAUUUGUCUGACUUAUGUCUCCAAAGUUCAGUAUUUGAUCUUUUCAGAAAAUGUGUAACUCCUUUUGGGCAGAAGACAGCACAGAUACUCCACAAGGUCUACCCUUGAGCUCCCUCUUGCAGGCAAGGCUGGACCCGGCGGGCUGUGCCGUACAUUUUCUAGAAGGUCUGUUCUGUUUCUCCUUCCAUUCUCAAAGGGCUGGCGGUGGUGGUGCUGGAUGGGUGAAGGUGCCCUCACUGUUUUCAGAUACAUUUGGCCCCUAUUCUAUCUGAAAACAGUUCCAUUGCCAGCUACCCUAUGCCAAAUCUGAAAUGGAUUUAUUCCAAUUGGGAAGAAAAUACUAACUCACCAUUAAAAUGGUAUUUUCCCCACACUUUGACCACACCAAAUAAAUAUCCUUUUGCACAACACCCUGUUAAAAUUACUAAGGAGGCCCCAGCAAUAUAUCUGUGCCCAAGGGGAGAAUUCUAUUACAAAGGUGGACAAAAUGGGCCCUUGAAAGCUCCGUCAAGUAAUCUUGAAAAUGGCAGAGGGAAACUGUGAGCUCGAGAUGUAAAAUAAUUGAACCAAAGUGGCUCAGCAGGCAAAACAGCAACUGAGUCUCCCUCGCUGGCUUCCCAUCAAAGGCAGGGAAUUCUGCUGUGAAAGUGAUGAGGUUGUUUUAGAUUUCGAACUAAGAUGUUUCAAAAUUACAGGAACCUUUUGGGAACCCAAAAGCAAUCAGUGCUCAAAAGGCUGAUUAAGUCUGUCUUGAAACAUAUAGAUGAUAGAGUCAUAUUAUUUGAGUUAUUAUAUUCAUGAGGAUUCUGAGAGGUCAUGUGACAUUUUUAAGUUUUAUAUGAAAUGAUCUUACAAAACUGUUUUUGGUGUGAACACAUGUGACAAGCAUUUGAACAAACACUUUAUUCCCUUGGAGACAACCCAUGUAUUUUGGUUUCAGAAUGGAUUUAAAGAUUUGGGUCAGAAAUGCUUUUAAAAUAUGAGCUUCUCCUUAGAGUUUCUUAAUUUCUUACUCCGAAUCACUCUUGGCCCUAUCCCUUUUCUGAAGUUUAAAGAGAUGGUUUGACAGUACAAAUUACCUUCUUUGUUUUCCAUUUAGCAGAGCUUGUGGUUUUUAUGGGCAUAUAAACUAUUUUUAUAACGUAAUUCUCUGCAAGUUGUGGCAUGAAGGAAAAUAGGCAUGGGCUAUAAAAAAUGUGUGCUAAAUCACUGCUAAUUAAAAAUGCAGCUAUUUAUCAUGCAAACAGAAUCAAAUAAUUUCUUUUUUAAUAUUUUAGUUUAAUUUUGUUUUAUAUACAUGGAGUUACAUUUUAUUAGGACAGACUCUAAUUUCAAAUGCAUUGAGGCAGUUGGAAAUGCAGAACCUUCCAGCAUCUAAACAAGAUCCUAAAGUUUGAUCCUGAGCUUUGAGAUGGGUGAUUGUGUAUGAAAUAGAUACAUCUGCUUGGGUCAUCUUGUAAGAUUGCUGAAAACAGAUAUUUUACUUCAUUUUAAUUUAUCUUUAUAUUUUAAAGAUUUAUUUGAAAGUUAGAGUUACAAGAAGAGGAAGGGAGGGAGGGAGAGAGAGACAGAGAAAGAGAGAGAAUCUUUCAUCAGCUGGUUUACUCCUCAAAUGACUGCAAUAGCUGGAGCUGGGCCAGGCUGAAGCCAGGAACCUGGAACUCCAACGGGUCUCCCAUGUGGGUGCAGGGACCCAAGCUCAUGGGUCGUCUUCUACUGCUUUCCCAGGAACAUUAGUAGGGAUGGAUCAGAAGUAGACCAGCCAGGAGUGUGCUCAAAUGGGCACUCUCAUGGGAUGCUGGCAUUCCAUGUGGCAGCUUAAGCUGCUGCACCCAAUACUGGCCCCUAAUUUAUCCUAAUUACAGUUUCUUUACAUUCACUUUAUAGAGGCAGUUCAAAUCAUGGCAUUAUCAACCUACUAAUCCUCUGUGUGCUCAUAAAGUGGGGAUAAUAAUACUGUUUACUUACAUUGCUGUUGCAUGCUUUAAUUCAGUUAAUACAAGAUCUGGAACAGUGACUGGGUAACAUCCAAUGCACAUUAUUUGUUUUUCCCAACCCCUGGCAUCUAGUUAUAAUGCAUGUACUUUAUUCUUAGUAGCUGCUUUUUUAAAAAAAAAAAAAAAAAAAAAAAAGAGGCCGGCGCCACGGCUCACUAGGCUGAUCCUCCGCCUUGCGGUGCCAGCACACCGGGUUCUAGUCCCAGUCGGGGCGCCGGAUUCUGUCCCGGUUGCCUCUCUUCCAGGCCAGCUCUCUGCUGUGGCCAGGGAGUGCAGUGGAGGAUGGCCCAAGUGCUUGGGUCCUGCACCCCAUGGGAGACCAGGAUAAGUACCUGGCUCCUGCCUUCGGAUCAGCGUGGUGCGCUGGCUGCAGUGCGUCAGCCACGGCAGCCAUUGGAGGAUGAACCAAUGGCAAAGGAAGACCUUUCUCUCUGUCUCUCUCUCUCACUGUCCACUCUGCCUGUCAAAAAAUUUAAAAAAAAGAAAGAAAAACACUUUUUUAGUCAUUUAUUCGAUAGGUAGAGAGAGACAGAUUUACAGAGAGCUUCCACCCACUGGUUUGCUCUCCAGAUGCCCACAAUGGCUAGGACUGGACAAGGGCCAAAGCUGAAAACUCAGUCCUGGUCUACCACCUGGGUGGCAAGGAUCCAGCUACUUGAGCCAUCACUGCUGCCUCCUGGGGUCUAUGUUAGCAGGAAGCUGGAGUCAGGAGCCAGAGUUGGAAAUUGAACCCAGGUACUCCAAUAUGGGAUGUAGGCAUCAAAUGGCUAGGUCAAAUGCCUGCCCCAGUAACUGCUUAUUAAUGAGAAAUCUGGUAAAACAGACCUUUUGCAGAAUUCAAAUGGUAAAAUAGACAUUUUUCAUGAACUCAGGGAGUCCAGUGAAGCUCAUUGAAUGCACGUUUAUAAUACCCUUUGUGUGUUACAGUGAGCCAUCUUGGUAAGCUGCAGACGGAGGUACCGACCUGUGAGAUUUGAGUGUGUGUGUGUGUAUGUAUGUAUGUAUGUAUGUGCGUAUUUAAAAAGAUUUUAUUAGCCGGCGCCGUGGCUCACUAGGCUAAUCCUCCGCCUUGCGGUGCCGGCACACCGGGUUCUAGUCCCGGUCGGGGCGCUGGAUUCUGUCCCGGUUGCCCCUCUUCCAGGCCAGCUCUCUGCUGUGGCCAGGGAGUGCAGUGGAGGAUGGCCCAAGUGCUUGGGCCCUGCACCCCAUGGGAGACCAGGAUAAGUACCUGGCUCCUGCCAUCGGAUCAGCGCGGUGCACUGGCCACAGUGCGCCAGCCGUGGUGGCCGUUGGAGGGUGAACCAACGGCAAAAGGAAGACCUUUCUCUCUGUCUCUCUCUCUCUCACUGUCCACUCUCCCUGUCAAAAAAUAAAAAAAGAUUUUAUUUAUUUCAUUUGAAAGGCAGAGUUAGAGGAGGAGAAGAAAAAGAGAGAUUCCAUUCAUCCACUGGUUCGCUUCCCAAAUGAUCAUAACAGAUAGAGCUGGGCCAAGCCCAUGCCAGGACGCAUGCCUCUGCCUCUCUGUAACUCUGCCUUUCAAAUAAAUAAAUAAAUCUUUAAAAAAUUAUUAUUUCAAUUGUAUGCUUUUAUAGUAUGUUGCGUGAUAAUUCUGUACAUGCAUUCAAUGUGUAAUGAUCAGAUUAGGGUAGUCAGCAUUUCCAGCUCUUAAACAAUCUUUAAAAUUUUUUUUUUUAUUGACACUUAAUCAUUGUACUUAUUUAUGAUUACAGUGUGAUAUUUCCAUACAUGUGUAAAAUGUGUAUCACCCAAUAGAGUAAUCAGUGAUUCUCUCUCCAUGUCAAUGCUUGUAUUAGGAAACUUGAAGCUCCUCGCUUCUAUUUUCUCAUAAAGUACAAAAUAAACUACCGUGUGUGGGGAAGCCGGAGAGUCGGCAUGCCUCGGUACGCGCAGCUGGUCGUGCGCCCCGCCGGCAGCAGGAAGACAGUCGGGAACUGAUUGAGGUGGACGAUGUGACGGAGGAUGAUUCCUUGCAGUUCGGUCCCACUGGAGGAUUGGUAGUUUGCAUGGAGCACUUUGCCAAUAAUUUUAACUGGCUAGAGCACGUCUUGGCCAUGUAGAAGACGACUUACGUCCUUUUUGACUGUGCAGGUCACACCGAGUUGUACACUCGCCUGUGAUGAAGCAGCCGGUCCAGCAGCUCGAGCAGUGGGAGUUCCGAGUCUGUGGAGUUUUUCUUCCUGAUUCUUAGUUCAUGGUGGAGUCAUUCAAAUUUAUUUCCGGCAUCUUGGCUGCCCUGAGUGCCACGAUCUCUCUAGAAAUGCCACAGAUUGACAUCAUGGCAAAGAUGGAUCUGCUGAGGAAGGAGAAGUUUCUAGAUCCUACAAGUGACGUAAGAAGCAACCAGUUCCAAAAAUUGACUAAUGCUAUAUGUAGACUGAGAGAUGGCUGCAACAUGGUUUGAUUUUUACCGUAUGAUCAGUCAGAUGAAGAACGCAUGAACAUUGUUACAGCAUAUUGAUUUGGCCAUUCAGUAUGAUGAAGACUUAGCAUUUAAAGAGCCUAAGGGACAUGCCGUUGAAUCUGCCUCUUUGCUUGGUGAAUAUUUUCAAGAAUGCCAGAAUGAAUGAAGAGUUUGCUAAAACGUAACUCUAAUGUGUGAAGAACUUGUGGUCAAAUUGGCAGAACAUUCUUCUCCUUGAAGGAUACAGUAGUAGAAAGCUAUUUAUUUCCAUGGAAAAAAUGGUGCAGCAGCACGCCAGAAUCAGGUUCUGAAACUGCUGCUGUGUAAAAUGGAAUCUUUUAGUAUCAUUUUAGCAGCAUCAACUUAGAUUUUUUUUUUUUUAAUUUUUGACAGGCAGAGUGGACAGUGAGAGAGAGACAGAAAAGUCUUCCUUUUUGCCAUUGGUUCACCCUCCAAUGGCCGCUGCGGCCGGCACGCUGCAGCCGGCACAUCGCGCUGAUCCGAAGCCAAGAGCCAGGUGCUUCUCCUGGUCUCCCAUGCGGGUGCAGGGCCCAAGCACUUGGGCCAUCCUCCACUGCCCUCCCGGGCCAUAGCAGAGAGCUGGCUUGGAAGAGGGGCAACCGGGACAGAAUCCAGCGCCCCGACCGGGACUAGAACCCGGUGUGCCGGCGCCGCAAGGUGGAGGUUUAGCCUAUUGAGCCACGGCGCCGGCCCAACUUAGAUUUUAAAAGUCAAAUUGGGGGCCAGUGUUGUGGGACGGCAGGUUAAGCCACUGCGUAUGAUGCUGUCAUCCUGUAUGAGCACUGUUUCAAAUCCUGGCUGCUCCACUCUGAUCCAGCUCCCUGCUGAUGCCCCUGGGAAAGCAGAGGAGGAUAGGCCAAAUGUUUUCCGGCCCCUGCCGCCCAAGUGUGAAACCUGGAUGGAAUUCCAAGCCCCCAGCUUUGCCCCAGCCCAGCUCAGCUGUUGCUGCCAUUUGAGGAGUGAACCAGCAGAUGGAAGAGCUCUCUCUCUCUGUAACUCUGUCUUUCAAAUAAAUAUAUAAAUCUUUAAUAAAUUAAUAAAUAAAAGUCAAAAUUGAAAUGGAAAAAAAUUAUUGUGUGGGGCCGGCAUUGUGGCGUAGCAGGUUAAGCUGCUGGUGCAGUCAUCCCGUAUGAAGACUGCUUUGAGUCCCUGCUGUUCCACUUUCUAUCCAGCUCCCUGCUGAUGCACCUGGGAAGUCAGCAGAAGAUGGUCCAAGUGCUUGAGGCCCUGUCACCCACCUGGGAAACCUGGAUGGAGUUCCAGACUCCUAGCUUCAACCUGGCUAGGCCCUGACCGUUGCGACCAUUUGGGGAGUGAAUGAGCAGAUGGAAAAUCUCUCUCUCUGUCUCUCUCUCUUUUUGUAACUCUGCCUUUCAAAUAAAUAAAUAAUACAAUACAAUGCAAUACAAUAUAAUACAGUACAAUACAUACUUCUCUCCUUCUAGUAUCUCUUUAAUUUUUUUUUUUUUUAGUUUAGCACUUUCUCUUUUUAGGGAAAGGCUGAGAAAAGCAAAUAUAAAUACCGAAUAAGAAAUAUCAGGAAGUGAAUUUCCCUCUGUCGUCAGAGCCAAGGCAGACCUGCUCCAAGGACUGGCAGUGUCUCCUUGCUGGAAUCAAAGGGCACUGAAGUGGGAUUCCAGCAUGACAUUUGCGGCACAGUAUGUUCCUAACUGUGCUUCCAACUGUCAGAGAUAGAAACGUCACAUGGAGCCUUAUAAAUACGUACAAUUUAAUGGGUCUGUUUGAAAAAAAAAAUUGCUUAAGAAAAAGAAAAAAAAAUGGCACUGAACUCUUAAGACUUGCUGCUUCCUCCUAUAACCAUCAUACCUCAAUUUAAAAAAUGGGUGGGGGGUUAUAAUGGAAAGGUAACACUGGGCAUCGAAAAAGGUCAGGAAGAACAGAGUUUGAAAAAAAAGCAAUAAAGGAAACAACACAGGCAACCUUCAGGCAACGUGUCCACUGUGAGCAUCCUUGUUACUUGGGAGACUGCUCAGCUGUGAAUAUGCGCAGGCCUCACCUGCUGGAUCAGGUUCCCCAGUUGAUUUGGCUGCACACUCAGGUCUGAAAAGUCCUAUCUGGAGAAGCACACGUUGGGAAGAUGAACAUAGUUACCUUGUACACCCCGAGGGGCAUCUUACUGGCCAUGUUGUACUGCUUACCUGUUAUCCUGCUUAAAUUUUAGGUAUUUCUUCACCUUUCCCCACUUUGCAGUAUCUCUUUCUUGGUCCCUCUCCACCUUGUUCUGUGACUGGCCUUGGAGGCCAUUACUCAGACUGGAUUUCGUUCACAGCUCUGCUGGGGCCCCGGCUGAAUGAGCCUGGUGAAACCACUUAACUUCUGUGCACGUCUGUUUACUCUUCCUUACAAAAGGCCUAAUGAUACUGGGCUACUGAGCUUAAAUUAAUUAAUGUUUAUAGAGCACUUCAAGCCUUGGGGAUAAAAGCCUCUUUGAAAUGCAUGCAAUUAUCAUUAUGGCUAAUGAAGCUCUCUCCUAACUCCUCCCCCCUCACUGGGGGGCAGGGGAGCUGCCUUUCGUAACAUAAUCCAGAUUAGUUGGGAAUUUAGAACAAAUGUCCUUUUCCAUUUCUGCACAUUCUACUGGUGUUUUUCAGUUUUGUUUUAUUUCCCAUUUAAAAAAAUUUUUAAACUACAAACUAGAUUUAGAUCGAUGAAGGCAAGUGAAUUUAUGAUAAAACAACCAAAUCAGGUUCUUACUUACUGCUUUUCCCCAGGUGGUAGACAACGAACCACCCACAGUGUCCAAAGGAAGAUCCGUUUACUCUUCAGGGAUAAUCACACAAAUGACCUUUGUCAUUGACAAUUUACAUUUAUUCUUUCUUCAUUUCUGCAGGUCAUGUCUUAGGUUGUCAUUGUCAAUUUGAUUUUGGAGAUGAUGAGGGAAGUAGUUACAUAAGUCAAUGCAACUACUUCAAAAUGCUCUUUUGAAUACUUAAGUUAAUCUGUUUUUUGAGUUUGGGGAAAUCAACUCCAAUCUAUGUAUACCAGGAUAUACUUGCUGCUUUACCUAUUUGGAAUCAUUUUGAAGAGAGAAGCUUUAGUUUGAAACAGUCUGGUUAGGAUAAAUUCAUGGUUAUUAAUUGAGUUUCGUAACUGUUAUAGAGAGGCUAUGUAAGUGUACAGGCCUCAGGACUGGCCCAGGAAGUGUGAAGUCAACGCUGUUCAAGGAGUGCAUCUCCAGCACAGCCCAGCCCCCCUUUGAAGGAGCAGAAUCAUGAAACCAAAGCACAAGCACUGACUUGACUUGUAAUCCCCCAGAUCUGGGCACCAUUUUGACAUCAUGAGCACACUCUGCUCACUUCAUUGCUUUGGUUUAGGAUUCAAGUCUUCACUGAAAACCUUUUAUUUUUAUUUUACUGUAUUUUAUUAGAAAGGCAGAGAGAGAGAGCGCGCGCCUGUGAGAGAGAGGAUGGGGUGGGGAGUGAGAUCUUCCACAUGCUGGUCCACUUCUCAAGUGCCUGUGGCUGCAGCCAGGAGCCUGCAACUCCAUCUGGGUCUCCCACAUAGGUGACAAAGACCCAAGCACUUGAGCCAUCAUCUGCUGCCUACCAAGGUGUACACAAGCAGGAAGCUGGAAUUAGAAGCGGAGCCAGGACUCAAACCCAGGCACUCUGUUCUGCAUAGUAUGCGGGUGUCCCAAGUGGCAUCUUGACUGCUAUGCUGAAUGCCUGCUCCUGUUCACUGAAGCUUUAAUCAGAGUCCUAGAAGCAAAUGCACAAAGUCAGUUUUGAACAUAAAUAUUCACUUCUCCGGUAGGACACUGGUUUGAAGAAGCGUUCCUGAGACUCUUGUUUGUACUGCAGGAUGAAAAGUGGCCCUUGCUGUCCAGAGGCUUGCUUCUGGAGGAUAGAGACAUGAUAAGCAGCCUGCACUGUGGCAUAGCAAGUUAAGUCUUGGCCUGUCAUGCUGGCAGCCCAUGAGGGUGCCUGUUUGAGACCCGGCUGCUCCACUUCCAAUAUAGCUCCCUGCUAAUGUGCCUGGAAAAGUGGCAGAAGCUGCUUUACUUUUCCCAAGUGUUUGGGCUCCUGUUACCCAUAUGAGACACCUGGACGAAGCUCCAGGCUCCUUGCUUCAGCCUGGCCUACUCUCAAGCUGUUGCACCCAUUUGGGGAGUGAACCAGCAGAUGGAAGAUUUUCUCUCUCUCUGUAACUCUGCCUUUCAAAUAAAAGAUGGGGGGAAGGGGGAUGAAUAGGCUCAUGUUUGUCUCUUUCACUAAGGAAGCUUUGUGAAGGGGAGAAUCCAAAUCUGUUGCAUUCACUGCGUUUUUUUUUUUUUUUUCAAAGAUUUAUUUAUUUAUUUGAAAGGCAGAGUUACAGAGAUGCAGAGGCAGAGACAGAGAGAGGUCUUCUGUCCUCUGGUUCACUCCCCAAAUGGCUGCAAUGGCUGGAGCUGGGCUGAUCUGAAGCCAGGAGCCAGGAGCUUUUCUGGGUCUCCCACAUGGGUGCAGGGGCCCAAGAACAUGGACCAUCUUCCACUGCUUCCUAAAACAUAGCAGAGAGCUGGAUCAGAAGUGGAGCAACUGGGAUUCGAACCGGCGAUCAUAUUGGAUCCUGGCAUUGCAAGCAGCAACUCCACUCGCUAUGCCACAGCGCUGGCACCCACUGUGGGGUCUUAAUUCAUUGUAGAAGCAUACUAACUACUUUUCGAGUGCAUGGAACAAGAGAGGGAAAAGGGGAAGAAGAAAAGAGUAAGAAGGAAGGAAGGGUGAUAAAUGUUGUUAUUCAAAUAGAAGCAUCUUACAAAUUAAAAGGACAGUGAUAAAUAUGUUUGUGGGAUGAAGUACAAAUUAAUGGCCCAGAAAACCAAAAAAUAAACAGCAGUGGUGUCAAUUACAGGUAUUUAGAUAAGAGGCAGAAAAACAGAGUGUCUUUUAUCAAGUCACAUCCACAUACAAGCAACCAAUUAACAACUGAAGGAUAUAGUUAAUAACCUAGACAUUUCUUUGCCUAUAGUUAACAGUACUGUAUUGUUAUUCAUUUGCAGAUUUUUAAGAGGGUAGAUCUGAUGUUGAAUGUUUGUGAUGGAUUGCAUGGUUAUGUCUUCCUCAAAAUUCAAUCAAGCGUACUUCAGAAAGUUUGUGAGAAAACAGUUUUAAAAGGCUAAGUUUAUUUUGGGGCAGAAAGUCUGAAAUCCAUGCACAUAAAGGGCCCUCAAAUAGUUCAUGGAAAAUGUACAUUAUAAAAGAACUAUGCAUGAAUUUCAAAAUUUUUUCACACCAAAAGAAACUUAUUUUAUUUUUAAUUUCAUUUUACCAUGAACUUUGUGAAGUACCCAAUAGGAUAGUAUUAGGAGAUACUGGUUUUGAAGUGGUAAGGUCAGGAGAGUAGAGCCCUCAAGAAUGGGAUUCAUGUUGCUAUAAAAGGAAUCCCAAAGAAGUUCCUUACUCUUUCUUUCUGCCGUAUUAGGGCAUGCUGGGAAGUCAGCAAUGUGUAAUCCAAAAGGUGACCUUCAUGGGAGUACCAUCCUGCCCGCAGGGAUUUCAGCCUCCAGAACUGUAAGCCACUCAGCCUUUGGUACUUCCUUAAAACAGCUGGAACUAAGAUGGUGUUCUUAAUGAUAAUGAAUAUAUAUACACACACACACAUAUCUGUAUGUUCUCAAAUCACUGCAUAUUUAUAACAUGGAGAGUAAUAUUGAAGUAAUACUGGAGUAUUGACUAUUGAAACUGUCCAGGCUUUUGACAAACACAGAAAACCCCAGAGAGACUUUGCUACUUAUAUUCUUGAUAGAUGAUAAGUUUAAAUUUAUUCUUUCAAAGAAAUUAGUGCCUUAGAAAAGGCAGAAUUAUUAUUAUAGAAUGUCCAUGAAAAUCUAACACUUUUCUUCAUUGUAGUCAAAGUAGUUAGCAGUGAGAAUAUCUCAAUUCAGGCAGCAGGUAUGGACAGAGGUUAAAAAAUUAUUUAAAGCAUUUUUGUAAAUCACUGGCCAGGGUAGAAUUUGAAUCCUAGGCAAUUGGGACAUAAGUUUAAAACUGCAUACUUUUUCUUUCCUUUGAGUAUAGAGAUCUCUAUUCUAGGACAAUGUGGGGGAAAGUACGAUUUGUCAUGGGACUUUUAAAGCACUGCGGUUGCCCAGUCCUGGGCCAUUCAUUUUCUGCAUAGGACAGAGCCAAUCCAGGGCAAAGUGGAAGUAGAUUCUGAUUUGUCUGGACAAAGUCUUUGUGUCUCUAGACAGGCAAAUCUAAAAAUAAUAGUUGCGAGUGGAGUGUGAACUUUCCCAUUCACCUUAAUGAGGCUGUCAACUGUGAAGCUAAUUAUAUCACUUAUAUAACACUGUUAGCCAUUUAAUGGCAGUUAUGGGACUCAGAGGCCAGCAAUUAAUGAUGACUUCUAGCCCACUGUAAUACCUCACGUUUCUUGAUAGUUGUAAUGAUUGCUGGCUAGGCAGAAGGUCAGUUAAAGAGUCUUUGAUCCUAGUCAACCAUCUUAGUUACUGAGUCUUUGGUUCUUUAAGAACCAGCAACAUCUUUGGUGACUAGAUCUUUUUUAGGUAGGUUGCUCAUUUUUUUUUUUUCAUAUGAAAUAAAUAGUCUUCCAUUUCUGACUGUGAUGUCAUAAAGAAAACCACAUUCAGUUAUGGGCAGAGGGCAAGUUCUGUUUCUUUUGUGUAACUACCCCUCCUCUCCCUGCAGGGAAAUGUGGUCUUGCUCAUUAACCUAAUGAACACUCAAAUGAGUGGGGGAAUGGAGGGCAAAACUGAAGAAUGUGGUUAAUAACCUCAGAAAGAGCUCAUAGUACCCUCAUUCGUUUAUUACAUCAUCUAUUUUAUCACGUGUGUUUUUGACUUUACUGUAUGCCAGAUGCCUAUGGGAACAUGGCUGACAAGAUCCCGGAAAUUUAUAGUAUACUAGUAAACAAUUGGUAAUUUACUUGUUUAGUUACAGGUAGUAAAGUAUAUUGAUGACAAAAAGUGCAGUGAGGUUGGUUUGGGGUCACUUUAGGUCAGCACUGAACAAAGGAAAUAUUGUGAGGCCCACAAAUAUGAGACUAAUAUGUAUUUUAAGAUUGCUCUGCUAGCCACAUCAAGAAAAGUAAUACACUGGUAAAAUCAAUUUCAAUGACUUAUUUUAACUCAAUGUGUCCAAAAUAUCACUUCAAUAUGUGAUAAGUAUAAAAAUAUAAAUGAAAUGUUUUACAUUUUUUAUUGUACUAAAUUUUCAAAAUCAGGCCUGUCUUGUAAAUAUGGCACCUCCCAAGUGUUUGCCAUUCACAAGUGGCUAGUGGCUGCCAAGUUGGACAGCACAAUUUUAAAUAGAGGAUGAUCUUUCUCCCAUCCAAAUUAUGAGGAAGUACUAGCCAUGUAGAGGUAUGCACUUUACAUUGAGGGGCUGGCAAGUGCAAAGAUCCUGUGGUAAAGUUUAGAUUUAAAUCUACUUUGAUUUCAAUCAUAAAACUAGAAAACAAAUAUAGCAAGACAUUGACUUUAUAAUACUUGUAUGCAGCCUUGUGACAUGGCUUAAAAAUAAAUCAUUCUUUCAAAAUGCUCCCAUAAGAGCCCAUCUUUUUUUUUUUUGAGCAUAAAUGAAAUGACAGGUUUGGCAUAGUUUAGUAGCUUGGUCACAACAGAAAUGAAGUCAGUGCAAAAUGAAACUUACAAAAAAUGUCUAAAUUAAUGCAUUGUGAACAUAUUUUUCCCUUUUGUCUUUAAACAUGAAAAUUUAUCACAGCCUACUGUAUAUUUUUCUGAUAAAUGUGCUAAUUGUAGGGCCUAUGUUCUAAUAGUAUUAUCUAUCUUCAGGACAGGACUUGGUGAGAAAUACAUCUGGGUACCAUUGCUUGCUUUUUAUCUUUCUCUGGAGGCAGGCCAUGCUUGACCCCUCAGUUAGCCCAGUAACAUAAUGAAUUAAUUAGGAACAAAGGUAUGCCAUACAUUGAAAAAUGAAAACUCACACAGAAAUAACUUUGAAAGAACCAUCGAAUGUGUUUUGAAAUAUAACGUCUGGAACAGGCUUUUCUUGCCAAGUGAACAUUCUCAUAUCCACACGAUGCUGGUUUGAUGUCGCCCUUACUUGGAUUCAGAAGCUGAGCCUGAGACUAGGAUAUGGGUGCAAGAUGUUGGUUUGGGAGGUUGUCCCAGGAAGCAGGGCCGGGAACGAUGAAAGCCCAUACAAGUUUACCAUUGUGGAGUCUGUGAGCUGAAGCAUGCUGUGCCACACUUCUGGGAAAUGUGCCUCAGAAUUACCCAACGUGGGGAGCAAGGAAUGGCUCCCUAACCUGUCAGUCACAGGCUGGUCUGUCUGUCCUUGGACUGGGGAGAAGAAUGUUAAUUUCCCAGCAUUUGUCACCUGAUUCCUGCAUGGAUAGAGAAGGCCAGUGCUGAAAGAAAAGCCUUAAACAUCGGGACAUAAUGCCUGUAAUUGGAGGUUGGGUGGUGCAAGCAGAGAGGUAAAGGCCAAGUGGACCUGGAUGGGUCACUGACAGUGGCUGCUCAAUUAUACUAGAAAUUUAUCCAAAGCUAAUUUAUGUUUUUAAGCACCUAGCUUACCAGGUACUGCCAUUUAUAUUGUCUCUUUAAAUAUUGUGAGCCCCCAAAAGGGGUGAGUUGAGCAGGUCUUAGUAUUUAUGUUAUAGAGGAGGGCUCCAAGGUUCACAUGUUCAUGGAUGGCAAAGAAGCAAUGCAGAAAUCCAGCUCUAGUGGAAAUCGUGGCUGCCUCCCAGCAUCCCAGGACGCCAGCUCUCUCCCACUGUGGUGCUCUGUGGUUGUGCUUUGGGUAGGACGGGUCCCAUCCCUAGCUUCAGGGAUGUGCCUUUGUUGGCUGACACCAAUCAGAUCGCUGUGCUCUUAUUGUCAUUGUAGUAUUCCAGGGAGAGCAUGUGACCACUUGGUGACAUGUGACAGCAACGUGAAUGUUUGGAGCAAACUAAAUGGCCUAAUAAGGGCAAGAUGAUUCCAUAUCUUUUUAAAAAUUUCAUAUGUACUUGAGCAAAUCUUUAGUUCUGCAGUUGUUGGCAGCCAUCUCGUGAGCAUGAGGCAAUGCGGCCUUAGGGCGAAGUUGAUGUCAUCCAUGGUAGAAAAGACAGAUGGAAAAAGAACAAAACAAAACAACAUCCUUGGUGACAUUGUUAAAUCACUGGAUCAACCUCUUUCGAAACCAAGAAACUCCUUUUAUUGUUUAAGAAAUCUGGGUUUCCAGCCAUUUGCAUCUGAGAAUGUUCUCUCUGACUCCUGGCUUGGUGUUCUACACUAAGGGCCCCAAGCCAGCUUAGAGUGAAAUAACUUAACCUCUUGUAUACAAAAUCUAGAGGGAUUUUACUAUAAUUUGCACUACACAUUUAGAAAAUUCUAUGCUUUUCACUUGAAAUGUAUAUCACAGUCAUGGAAACCAAAUAUAAGCUAGAAUGGAGCCAUCAAUUCAUGUUAGGAACUGAAGGACAAGGGUAGAUGAAGUUUUAAGCACAUUUGUGGCUUAUCUAGUGAGUCUUCAUUGAACAUAACUUUUCUUUUUGGGAUACCCAACGUUCAUACAACAAAAGAAGAAAAACCGAAACAAAGGAUUGAUAAUUGGACUUUCUGUUUUUGACUUUGAUAAAUGAUGGUAAGCACUAUAUGAGACUGAUAUAUCUUUCUUUUUCUUCUCUUAUAUAAAUAUAUAGUUUGAAAAAGGAAAAUGCUUAUUUUCUGAGCCGAUCUUGCAGCUACAGGUGAUUAAGUGUUAUAGUUUUGGACAGUAAGUUGUAAACAGGUGUCUUCUGAGGAAAUUUCAGGGAAGACACUUACUUUCCUGAUAAAAGGGUAUAUACUACUAGUGUGCCUCUUUCUUCCGUUGUGCUACCUUGAAUAAUAUGUGAAGCCCAGAACCAUGGGGGCCACCUUGUGAGGCAACAGACUUGAAGACAAAGGGAACUGGCGUGAAAAGGCAGAAAUGUUUUGGCUCCCUGAGGCCCCUAUUGAGAAGCUGAGUUCAUGCCAGAAACUGUCCUUUUUCUUGAGUGAGAUAUCUACAACUUUAUAUGUUUAAGCCAGCAUUUAGUGAGUGUUCUCUUACUUUCAGCUUAAUGUAUUUCAAAUGAGAAUUUGUAACCAUCUCAACAACUCUUUGAAUCUUUAGUACUAUUCCACAUCUUUACUCUAUUUUUUUUUUUGUCUAGAUGGAGGUGGCUUGACUCAGGAGAUAUUUGUAUCCCACAGAUACAAAUCAAUGACUGAGACUGUUUUUUUUUUCUUUUUAAAUGAAGGAGAUGCCCAGUUGCCCUUGUAAAUUGGAAAAGGCCCAUCUAUUGUGGAUCCAAGACCAUCUUGAACUCUUCCACUUUCUGCCUCCUUGUUUGUAUUUUAUCCACACUGACCUCUGUCUUUUAAUUGGUAUAUUUAGGCCAUUCAGACGUAAAGAGGUUGUUGAUAUUAAUGGGCUUAUAUCUACCGUGUUUGUAACUGUUUUCUUCUCAUUGUAUUAUUGUUUGCUUCUUUGCCUCCUAUUUCUAUCUUCUCUGAUUUUAAUUAUUUAGUAUGAUUGAUUCCAUUUUAUCUCCACUCUUAGCAUACAAACUAUACUGAAAAGAUUUUGUAAGUGGUUUACCCAGAGUGUGCCAUAAUAUGAUCAUCUAAAUUCCACCUUCAAAUGACACUGUAACAUUUCACCUUAAGAACAGGUAAAUUCUCUACUGUACCUGGUGACUGUAUUCUGUUUCACUUAGUCAUAUGCUGUAUUUACUAGAAUACAUUGUGUCUAUUAUUAUUUUAAAAGGUUAUCAUCAAUUAAGAUUAAUAUGAAUAAAACAAUUUUAUUUUAAUUUAUUUUACCUUUACUUAUUCCUCCUCCAAUGCCCUUUUAUUGUUUUAUGGAGCUCCCAAGUUUCUGAUCUACAUCAUUUUCCUUAGGCCUGGAGAAUUUCUUUUAGCAUUUGUUGUAGGACAAGUUUGCAACAUCUCAAAUAGUUCACUUCAGUCUUAAUCCAUUUCUACUACUGUAACAGAAUACCACAGGCUGGGUAACUUAUAAAAAACAGAAGUUUAUUUCCCAUGGUUCUAUAGGCUGGGAAUUCCAAGCAUAUAGUCUGGUAAGGGCCUUCUUGCUGUAUCUUCACACGGCAGAAGCAUGAAAACAAGUUAGUUAAUGUUGUGUGAAACCUCUUUUAAAAAGAUCUUAAGGGCUGUUGUUGUGAUAUAAUGGGUAAAGCCAAAGCCUGUGAUGCCAGCAUCCCCUAUGGUGCUGGUUCCUGUCUCAGGUGCUCCACUUCCAAUACAGCUCCCUCUUUUAAUGUGCCUGGGAAAAUAGUGGAAGAGGCCCCAGGCGCUUGGACUCUUGUACCCAUGUGGGAGACCUGGAAGAAGUUCCUGGCUCCUGACUUCACUAUGGCCCAGCUCCAGCUAUUGCAGCCAUCUGGAGUGUGAACCAGCAGAUGGACAGUCUCUCUCUCUCUCUGUGUCUCUCUGUCUCUCCCUCUCUCUCUCUCUAACUCUGCCUUUCAAAUAAAAAAAAGAAAAACCUCAAGUCUACCCUCUUGGCUCACAUGCCUUUUAAAGGCCCCAUCUCCUAAUACUAUCACAUUGGCAACAGCUGAAUUUUAGAGGGGACACAUUCAAAUCAAGAAACUUCACUCUUUUUUGCUUGCAUGGUUUCUGAUGAGAAAUCAGCUGUAAUCUUCAUCUUGUUCUUCUGUGGUUAAGGUUUUUCUUCCCUGUGACUUCUUUCAAGAUUUUCUCUUUGUGUUUUUCUGCCAUUUAAGUAUGAUAUUCCUAAGCGAUUUUGUUGUUAUUGUAUGUAUUUAUCCAUCUAGUGUUCUCUGAGUUUCCAGGAUCUGUGGUUUAGUGUCUGUCAUUAGUUCUGGAAAGUUCUCAGUCGUUCAGUUUAAUAAUUUUCCCGCUUCUGUUUUAGCAUUUCAAUUGCUUAUAUGAUGUACAUUUUGAAAUUUCCCUACAGCUCUUGGAUGUUCUGCUUGGCAUUUUGUUCUCAUUAAUUUUUCUCUUUGUAUUUCAAUUUGGGGUAUCUCUAUUGACUUGUCUUCAAGCUCACUGUUUCUUUGUUCAGUUCUGUUAAGUCUCCUGAUGAAACCAGUCAGAGACAUUUUUCAUUUUCUUGUUACAUAGUUUUUUAUUUUUAACAUUUUGAUGUGACUCUUAGAUUUUUUAAACCUCUCUCUUACAUUGCUCAUCUGUUCUUGCAUGUUGCUUACUUUUUGCAUUACAGUCUGUAAUGCAUUAAACUCCCUGAUAGUUAAAAGAUCUGUGUCUACUGCUUGCAAUGCCUGCAUGCCAUACCAGAGGGCUUCCACUUCUGAUCUGGCUUCUUGCUAAUGCACACUUUGGGAGGCAGCAGACAGAUUAUGGUCCAAGUAGUUGAGUUGCUGCCAUCCACAUGGGAGAUGCUGGGUGGUGUUCCUGGCUCCUGGCUUUGGAUUGGGAAUGACCCAAUGGAGGGAAUAUCUCCUUCUCUCUCUCUCUGUUCCUUCCUUUCUCUCUGUUACUCUGCCUGUCAAAUAAAUAAAUCUUUUUUAAAUCUUUAUUUAUUUAUUUAUUGACAGGCAGAGUUAGACAGUGUGAGAGAGAGAGACAGAGAGAAAGGAUUUCCUUCCGUUGGUUCACCCCUUAAAUGGCCGCUACUGCUGUUGUGCUUUGCCGAUCCGAAGCCAGGAGCCAGGCUCCUCCUCCUGGUCUCCUAUGUAGGUGCAGGGCCCAAGCACUUGGGCCAUCCUCCACUGCCCUCCUGGGCCACAGCAGAGAGCUGGACUGGAAGAGGAGCAACCGGGACAGAAUCCGGCGCCCUAACCGGGACUAGAACCCUGGGUGCCAGCACCGCAGGUGGAGGAUUAGCCAAGUGAGCCGUAGUGCCGGCCAAUCUUUUUAAAAAAAUUGUUACAAAAAAAGAAAAGACCUCUGUCAUAUCACAGUCUGGUUCUAAUGAUUGAAUUGUUUCUUCAGAUUGUGUUUUUGUUUUGGCAUCCCUUAUAAUUUUUUGUUGAAAGAUGAUUAUGUUGUAUUGGUUAAUAGGAGUAGAAGUAAAUUGUUUUUGGUGUGAGGAUUUAUCUUACUCUGGCUAGCAGGCUGACUUUGUUUUAGGCUCACUGGAACUAUAGGUGCAAUAAGUUUCAAAUUCUCCUGCAUCUUUGUUUUUGUCUUUCUGUUGGGCUUUAUUUCAUAGUUCAUGUCAGUUCUUUUAGCUGUAAUCCACUAUUACUUAAUGGAUCCAUGUUGGUGUGGUGAUGAGGUGUUGGGGAGUGGUAGUGUUUUACAAUUUUUUAAUGAAAUCUCAAUGGUUUAGUGACCUAUGUCUUUGGGAUAUGUCCUUUACAAGUGUUUUUACUGAAAAUGUUGCUGUUUUUCCCACUAGCCCCUGCUUUUAUCCCUGACUACAGCAUUCCCAAUGUAUUUCCUUGGUGUGAUAUUCUCUAGUGACUUUAGUGACUUAUGUUUUUCUGAGUUUUUUUUUUUUUUUCCCCUACUCUUUAGGCAAGACAAGAAGAAUUGAAGGGACUGGAAUAGGAUAAAUACCCCUUUCCUCGAUGCCGUAAGGCUGUGGCAACAUUUUUUUUACUCCUGGAGAGUAGGUCUUUGUUGCAGAAAAUGUUAUGGUCAUAUUUUACAAGCAUUACUCUUUUCCUACUUGGCCAGAACUACGAGAGGAUCUUUCUCUGAUAUUCACUUGAGGAACUUUGCGGGGCUCCAGGAGAUGAACGCCAUGAAAGGCUGGCCUGCCUUGAAGACUGGGGUCUCUGAGAGUUGCUCACUCUCCUGCUGGUACACGGCUGAACCUCCAGUCAUUCAAGUUACCAUGUGAGCGUUCUUGCUACUUGAGAUCCAGCAGCUCCAGAUACGCAGAUUUUGACUGUGACUAUCUAGAUGCCCUAUCUGUUCAGAUUGGUGGGGGGAGUUUGCCCUCUAUUUCAGUUCUCUGAUGAGUCCAAGAUAAGUCACUCCUUUUCUUUUAUUUUGUUCAGCCAUUUUGUUGUUGUUGUUAUUGAAACGAUGGGAGUGAUGACUUACAAGCUCUUUUCAUGUCUAGACUGGAGUCCUUUCACUUCCUCUUAGAGUCUUAAUUUCUUUAUCUGUAAAAAUGAGUAUAUUUGUAGCUACUUUACAAUGUUGUUGUGAUUUUUAUGAGGCAAUAGUCAUUGGGAAAUCUUGUAAGGUCUAUUUGCAAGUGGACAAUAAAAUGGAGGGGUCUGUACUGAACUUCUAGAGAGAAUGCCAUUGUCAUGAACAAGUGGAAUUAUAUGGAAUCAACUAAAGAUGCUCAAAAAAAGUUUUAAAACAUUAUAGGGAGGGAAAAAUUUAAAUAAUAUGGCCAAUACUGCCACCAUUCCAUGUAGCGAUUUUUAUCUUCUGGUGUGAAUGUGAUAGUCUGUGUCACCCAGGAGAAAGGACUGAAGAGCUGGGAAGUGAGAGUCCGGGCUGCUCUGCAAUCCUUCCUGCUAAUGCACAUGCUGGAGGCACAGCAGUGCUGAUGCAGGUAGCUGACAUCCACAGGGAAGACCCUGAUGGAGUUCCAGGUGCCUGGUCCAGCUGCAGCUGUUGUGGGCACGUGGGGAGUGAGCCAGCAAGUGGAAGACCUCUUUCUGUCUUUCUGUUGUUCUGCCUUUCCAAUAAUCAAAAAAAAAAAUACAUAAAUAAACAUUUUUAGCAAAGAAGGAGGAGGGAGAAGUUCUCAGCAGAAGGAACAUGUGUAUUGGGGCUUGACAAAAUUCAUGGAAAAUGUGCAUUAUUUUAAAAUUCCAACUUCCAACAAUGUUUUUGAAAUUCCCUUAUAAGAGAGAAGCAUGAGGCAAGAAAAAGCUAAGAAGAUUUUUAAAAAUAUCACAGUGGCGUUGGGGUGGAGAGAGAUAAUGCUAGGCCGGGGCUUAGUGAUCCAUUUAGAGUGCUUGAACUCUGUUUUAAAAGAAGUGGCCCAGGGGCAGGAGUUGUGGCACAGCAGCUAGGCCCUGCGUGGAUGCUCAGAGCCCAUAUCACAGAGCCUGGUUCGAGUCCCAGAUACUUUGCUUACCAUCCAGCUUUCUGCUAAUGUGCAUCCUGGGAAGCAGUGGUGCUGGCUCAAAUAUUGGAGUCCCUGCCACCCAGGUGGAAGAUCCAGAUGGAGUUUCCAACUCCUGGCUUCAGGCUGGCCUAGACCUGGCUGUGUGGGCAUUUGGGGAUGGAAGUGGAUGGAAGAUUCUCUCCCUCUCUCUCCCUAUCUGCUUGGUCUAGGGAGCCCUGGAUGAGGCAGUCACUGACACUCUGCCUUGCAAAUUUAAAUAGCAGACAAGUGGCCUAGUCUCUCCUAAACUCAAUUUUGCUUAUUCAUAUAUAUUUAAUAGGUAAAAAAUUGGAAACAAUGCUUUAUUAUAAGCUUAUUUCGCAUUUUUAUUGCUGUCUGAAUUCAAUUUUUCUUUGUGAAUUUACUUAUGUGGGAUUAUUGUCCCAUGUCUUUUCCCCAUUUAUUCAUUGUUUCUUUGUGGCAGUACUGCAAUUUCAAUAAACUCAUCAUAUAUUAUUUUUUAAUCUUAUAUUUGAGGAAAAAUAAAUUUUUUAUUAAUUUUUUCUUUUACUUCAGAUAUAAUUCAGUUAUUUAAAAAUAUGGAUCUUCCCGUUCCAUCUGUCGAUACGACAACCAGUAGCUUAUAAUGCAAAGACUUCUCACUCAUGUGUCUGUGGGUUAGCCCACAGGGGAUCUAGAUUAAGUCUGACUGGGUUUACUCCAGGCUGUCUAGGCCCAGGUUUGCUGUGUUUUUCUGUCAUCCUCCUUAGACCAAUAGCUUCUUAAAUUUGCUCUCAUGGCAGAAGACAGAACGUCAGAAGGAUAUGGGCAGUCACACUGUACAUUAUAGCUUCUACGUAUUGUGUGUCUGCUAACAUCCUGUUAGUUACAGCAUGUCCUGUCACUAAGCCCAAAUUCAGAGGCUGGGAAGGAAUACCCUGUCAACAGGGUGGAUAUGUAAUAUUACCACAGUGGCAGGAAGGAUUUAAACUAAUAAUUAAGCCUACCACAUGUAUCUGUGAUUGUGAUAAGAUUAAAGUCUCUAAUCAGGUCGUGUAAAAAUCUAAAGUAAAAUAUCUCAAGUUCAUCCUGGAUGGCUUAGAAUGAUAUUGGUUAUGCCUUAAGGACAACUGGAGUUUGAAUAUAUUACAGUACUAACAAGAUAAUAUUAACAUUAAAUUCUUAAAAUACGUAUGUUCUAUUACAAUAUUAUUAAAUAACUUUUCAUGUCUCCCUUGUUUGGGAUAUGUUUUUAUUAUAUUAGCUUCCAUAGAUACUUGGGCUUAUUUGUGCUCUAUUUUGCUGCAUAAUCUAUUGUUUGAUUUGUAAUUUUUAUGAGGUUACACUUGCUUGUUCUGUCUUGGUCAUUGCUGCAUUCCAGUAGCUAGAACAGUGCUUGAUGUCCAGUGGAUGUUUAAUAAAUAUUUGUGAAAUAAAUGUUGAGUAUACAUUCAUGCCGAAGUAUUUUUUUAGAGGGGACAGUGGAGGGAGAGAGUUUGACAGAGAAAGAUUUCCCAUUUGCUGAUUCAUUCCCCAAAUGCUGGAGCUGGGUCCUGCCUAAGCCAGGACCCUAGAACCAGGAACUCCAUCUGGGUUUCCCAUGUGGGUGGCAGGGACCCAACCACUUGAACCAUCAUGUGCUAUCACCCAGAGUACACAUCAUUAGAAGCUGGGAUCAGGAGACAGUCACGACUUGAACUCAGGUGCUUUGAUGUAGGAUGUAGGUAUCCCAAGUAGUGUCUUAACUGCUGUGCAAAUACCACUGUUAUUUAUUUAUUUAUUUAUUUAUUUUGACAGGCAGAGUGGACAGUGAGAGAGACAGAGAGAAAGGUCUUCUUUUGCCGCUGGUUCACCCUCCAAUGGCCGCCGCGGCUGGCGCGCUGCGGCCAGCACAUCGCGCUGAUCUGAAGCCAGGAGCCAGGUGCCUCUCCUGGUCUCCCAUAGGGUGCAGGGCCCAAGAACUUGGGCCAUCCUCCACUGCACUUCCGGGCCACAGCAGAGAGCUGGGCUGGAAGAGGGGUAAGCGGGACAGAAUCCGGCACCCCGACUGGGACUAGAACCUGGUGUGCCGGCGCCGCAGGCGGAAGAUUAGCCCAGUGAGCCGCGGCGCCGGCCCAAAUACCACUCUUAUUUUAUUUUUUUAAAAAGAAAAAAUUACUUGAGUUUUUGCUUGAUAAUAUAUUCUAAUAUCUGCCAUGGUGAGUAAUUUUUAAGUUAAUUUUGUUUUAUUAAGUUUAUGAUUUAGAGAGAAUUGGCUUAUUUAUAAUUUAAAAACUCAAGCUAUUAAAGGAUUUGUGUAAAAAAUUCAUAACACAUUCAAAGUGUUUUUAUGCAGAUACUUCACAUUUUCCUUCAAAUUAAUUUAAAAGUUAAUUCCAAGAAGUUUAUUAGUAUUUUGUUUUAUAAAUGGAUGUUUUUUACAGAUUUAUUAAAAUAUAUUAGGAUCGGCCAGCUGUCAUAGCUGUCCCCCCAAAAAUUAACAGCUUAAAACUACAAGCAUUUCUUUUUCCUUCUAAUUUUGUGAAUUGCUUAGGCAGAGCUUCUAGUCUGGGUGGCUCAGCUGGGCUGCAUAUUCUAGCAAGUCAGGCCGGCAGCCAGCAGGCUGCUUGGUCUAGGGAGCCUUGGAUGAGGCGCUCCGUCUCUCCUUCAUUGGUCUCUCAUCACCCAGCCUUGUAGUCUGGAAAACAUCAUAGAGUAGUCUCAGGGUUUGUAGUAACAAGAAAGUAAGCCCUACUGAGUAAACACUUUUAAGCCUCAGUUUACAUCUUCUUUUCUGUUGUCUUCCUGGACAAAGCAAAGGAAAUGGCCAAGCCCAGUUUCAAAGGCUGGAGAAAUAAACCCCUCAUCUUGAUAAGAAGAGUGGCGAAGUUACAAUCCAUAUGGACUUGGAUUCAAGGAUAGGAAGGAUUUAGGCCAUGUUUCUGUGUUCCCCAGAGGAGUAUUUUGGAAGAAAAAUCAUACUCCUUACAUGGACUGUUGUUAAUCUGCGUCCACUUUAUUCUCACAUAAAUCGCCGAUGUGAAACAGUGAGUGCUAAAUGUAUAAGGAAGAGAAUUGGGUCUUUGGAUUCUUCAUUUCUUAAUUCACUCGUUCAUUUAUUAAUUUCUACUACAGGCUAAGCUCUGCUCUUGGUGCAGUGGAUGCAAGAAUGACUAGGACAGGGGCCAGAGCUGUGGCACAAUAGGUUAAUCCUCUGCCUGCAACGCUGACAUCCGUGUGGGCACCCGUUCUAGUCCCCUGCUGCUCCUCUUCUAGUCCAGCUCUCUGCUAUGGCCUGGGAAAGCAGUAGAAGAUGGUCCAAGUGCUUGGGGCCCCACACCCAUGUGGGAGACCUGGAGGAGGCUUCUGGCUCCUGGCUUCCGGUUGCGGCCAUUUGGGGAGUGAACCAGUGGAAGGAAGACCUUUCUCUCUGCCUCUCCCUCUCACCCUUCUCACUGUCCGUAACUCUACCUCUGCAAUAAAUAAAUAAAAUCUUUAAAAAAAAAAAAAAGGGUGACUAGGACAAAGUCUUUGUCCUUAAGACAUCCAUGGAAGACCAGGGAAGACCCAGGGGAUACUCAAAAUAUUUAAUUAUGGACUAGCAUUGGCUCUGAGCAAUCAUGAUAUAUAUUACCCUCUGGGCUAGAGGAGGGUACUGUGAUUUCUGGAUCAAGAGAAAGUUGAGAAUGUUGCAGGAAGGAGUCUGGAGUGGUAGAUGGAUCACUCAGAAGAUGCAGGACAUAGAAAUUUACCCACAAUACGAAUAUUGGGUCAGCUGUACCUGUGAAUCCAGCACUAUUGUAACCAUUGGGAGACCCACAUGAGAGCAGAUAAUGGAAUACAAUGAAUUGAUUAUGGCAGACCAUGUAUGAGCCUAGAGAAUGGUAGAAUUCUUCUUCCAAAGUAAUUGGAAAGUAACCAUAGAUAAGAUCAACCAUAAAUAAAAUUAGAUAGGGUUAUGUAAGACAAAUAGAAGUUUGACAGGUAACCAAGGAUGAAGAGGAUAUUUCAGAGAGCAGACACAGAUUGUGCACAGGUAGAGUUUUAGUCUGGUUUAUCUAUAAGAGAUCACAAAAGGAGAGACUUGCAGGAGAGAUUUGGCUGUCAACGUAUUUUGUUUGGCUGAUGUGGGCUUUAAACAAUUGAACUUUUUUUUAUUUUUAUUUUUUAAAGAUUUAUUUGAAAGUCAGAGUUACACAGAGAGAGGAGAGGCAGAGAGAGAGAGAGAGAGAGAGAGAGAGAGAGAGAAAGGAGAGAGAGGUCUUCCAUCUGCUGGUUCACUCCCCAAUUGGCUGCAACAGCCAGAGCUGCGCCUAUCUGAAGCCAGGAGCCAGGGGCUUCUUCCGGAUCUCCCACAUGGGUGCAGGGGCCCAAGGGGUUGGGCCAUCUUCUACUGCUUUCCCAGGCCAUAGCAGAGAGCCGGAUCAGAAACGGAGCAGCUGGGACUCGAACUGGCGCCAAUAUGGGAUGCCAGCACUACAGGCUAGGGUGUUAACCUGCUGUGCCACACCUCUGGACCAUAAACAAUUGAACUUUAAUGCUUUAAGACAGAGCUUGAACUCUGCUCUGCCAUGGUUCCCACUGUUCUCCAAUGUAGCACCACUCCUUACUGUAGGCUUUUAUGUUUGUAACCUCUGAAUGCUGUGAUACCUGACAUCGUUGAGCACCAAUUAGUAUCUUCUUGAUAUUUUACAUUUUCCGACACAUUAAGUCAUCAUAAGGCAGCCCUUAUUAACUAGUUUUACAGAUGAGGAAACUGAGUCUCAAAAAUAUUUGUUAACUCCUCCAAGGCAACAGAACUGAAAAGAAGUGGAGUUAUGGUUUCAAUCUAGGUCUCCCUGAACCCAAAUCUUGUGUUUUACUGCCGGGUCAGAGCAAGUGUGUGCUAUGCUUCAUCUUAUCCAGUUUUAAAUACAUUGGGCUUUAUCUAUAUGCAGGAACUUCAAAACAUCCAUGGAAACUGUAAUUGAAAGAUAAGUCUGGGGCAGGCAUUUAGCCUAGCCUAGUGAUUAACAGGCUAGUUAAGAUGCCUGCAUUCAUGAGGGAGUACCUGGAUUUGAUUCCAGCUCUUGCUCCUGACUCCAGUUUCCUGCUAGUGCAGACCCUGGACAGCAACUAUGAUGGCUCAAUUAAUUGGUUCCUGCCACCCACAUGGGAGACCUGGAUUGAGCUCCCAGCUCCUAGUUUCAGUCCUACUCAUUCCUGUCUGCUGCCAGCAUUUGGGAAGUGAAAUAGUUGAUGGGAGCAUUCUUUCUCUCUUUCCUUCCCCUUAAAUAGAUAAAUAAAAAUUCAAAACAUAAAUUUAUUUUGGUUCAAAAAAUUGAAAUCUGUGCAUACCUGAGGUCUUCAAAAUAUUUGUGGAAAGUGGGCAUUAUGAAAAUACUAUACAUGGAUUUCAAUUUUUUUUAAAUCUAAGUAAACUUUUAAUUCUAUUUUCCACAAUCUGUUUGAAGUACCCUUAUAUAGUUGACUUUUUCAGCAAGGCAUUUCUGCAGGAAGGCCAAUGUUUGGUUCCUUGAAAAAGAUUAGAACGAUGCCACAGCUGAUGAGUUACUUCUUGUGACUCUAAUAAGACCAUAGGGUCAACGGAGGUGAAAAGGGAAGAGUUGUCUUUUUUGCUGAGGUUCAAUAACAUCACACCCAGGCAAUUUCUUUGGGAGGUGAUUUCAGAAGUAAGAUAAGAGAGAGGGGGAAUAAGCCAGGGAAAGGAAGACAGUCAAUAAAGCCUUUGUUGACGGGCAGUUACAACUGGGGUAGCUGAGGACACUCUCAGAGACUGUAUAGACGCCUAACAUUAUAGAGCACUGCACCAUGCCUGGGGACAUUCUUGGAAUUUCACAGUUCUUCCAAUAUUAAACCAGAGAGAUCUUAUCCCAUUUUAUGCAUGAGGAAAUUAAAUCUUGUAGACAUUGAGUAACUUUUUAGAGGCAACUCAGCUAAGAAGAGAUGAAGCUAAGACUUUCAAAUUAGCCUCCUAAAGGGCAAGGGAGCUGCGGUGCACAUCUAGGACGUUAACUCCUACCUGCUUGGACCAGGGACUGCUGAAACCAGAGAAAACCCUGAAGCAGAAUGAUGUAGAAGUUUGAGGUAGGAAGCUGUCAGUGUAUUGAAAAUGUCCACCAAACUGCAAGUAGCCUUCAGCAGAACAUCUUGUCUAAGAAGAUGCCAGAAUGCAGAGAAUAAAAUAAGCCUAGGGGCAUCGUGCCUCUUUUUACUAAAUCUUUCUGUGAGCUCAGCUGGCCUUCACUAAACACUUGCUAUAUCGAAGAGACCAUUGGGUUUAUUUACCAGAACAUCAGUAUCUUGUAGAAAGGAACAGGAAUGGUGUAUCUUCCUUUCCCAAAAUCUAGUUCAGAGCCUAACACAUUAGUUACUCAAUGAAUAUUUAUAUAGGAAGGCAAUUUAGAACAGUAGGGAAGAUUGGUCCUUGGGAUUAAAUAGACUGUAGUCUCACGUUUUGAUGAUUUUUUAAAAAAGUUUAUCUAUUUAUUUGAAAGGCAGAGUAAUAGAGAGAUGGAGAUGCACCAAGAGAAGGAGAUGUUCAGUCAGCCAGUUCGCUCCCCAAUUGGCUGCAACAGCUGGGGCUGGCCUACACCAAAGCCAGGAACUCCAUCAGGGUCUCCCAUGUGGGUGGCAGGGGCCCGAGUACAUGUUCCUCUGCUUUCCCAGGCACAUGAUUUGUUUUGUAGUGCAUUGGAGACAACUAUUGUUGUUUCUGGUAUCUUCAUUUGCUCUUGCUCAUGCUGAAUUAUUUCCCGUUGAGUUUUGUCAUUUGGGGCUGUGAGCCCAUCUUCUGUGGAACCUUGGUGGUGAUCCCAGUGUAAAAAUGUGGCUCUUCAAAGAGACUUUCUGAUGGCUUCUGCCAGGCAUGCAAGGGGUAUUAUUUUUUUUUUUAAAGAUUUUAUUUAUUUAUUUGAGAGGUAGAGUUAAAGACAGUGAGAGGGAGAGACAGAGAGAGAGAGGUCCUCUGGUUCACUCCCCAAUUGGCUGCAAUGGUCAGAGCUGUGCUGAUCCAAAGCCAGGAGCCAGGAGCUUCUUCCGAGUCUCCCACGUGAGUGCAGGAGCCCAAGAACUUGGGCCAUUUUCUACUGCUUUCCCAGGCCAUAGCAGAGUGCGGGAUCAGAAGAGGAGCAGCCAGGAUACGAACCAGCGCCCAUAUGGGAUGCCGAUGCCACAGGUGGAGGAUUAACCUACUGUGCCACCAUGCCAGCCCCACAAUGGGUAUUAUUAGCACAAAAUAAAUUUUAUAUUACUCUUUGUUCAUGAAAGUUUUAGUGGAAAUCUGAAUGCUAAACUCAAGAGUCCAGGCCUAUGCCUAUGAAUUCUUGGAGCCCAUAAUUUUUUUUUUCUCUGUCUAGAGCUCAGACAGAAAAAAGCCUCAUUGUCAUCUCUCCCUGUCUUUUUUAGAUUUUUCUAGGCUAACGUCUCACCUCUUACUGGCCAAAUUCCUCAUCUUUUUUCCAUAUGUGGACCUUAAAAACUCUGUUACUGAGCCCACAAAACACCCAUCUGGCCUCCUAAGUUUCAGCCCAGUUAUUACAGUUUAAAAUUUCAAGUUCUUCUUCAUUUUUAACACCCCAAAUUUUUCUUUCUUGCAGGCUCAGCCUUGCAUUUCAAAUGUCUUACAUUUUAACCUAGUAUUUACACUUUGCAAUGAAAGGGUUUUUGGUAUUUAGACCACAAUAUUCCCAGAAACUAAUGUUCUUAAGUAUUCUUUUACUAUAAAUUUUCAGAGGUGGAAUUCCAAGUUUAAAAGACAAGUAUAUUUUUAAUUUAUCUUACACAUUAAAAUUUGAUUAUAAAAUUAGAAUAUUGAGAGAAGUUUGUCCUCUUUGAAAUAUUGUAUAAUUCAAGAGCAUGAUAAUGAAUGCAAGAUAACUUUUAAAUAUUUUCUUACUUGUGUUAACUAAAUCAAUGUUCAACUUGUCACUUUCUCACUUGAAGGUUUUCUGCCUUAACAGAACAUCUGUUUCAUCAUGAACUUUGGAGGUAUAAAUCCAAAAGACCUGAGUGUGCCCAGGGGAUUAUGAUGAACAAGAAUUUUUUUAAAAAGCAUGCUCCCAAAUUCUUAGUUUUACAAGGUGAGGACCUACCAUAUAUAAACUCUAUUUCCACAUUGCCCACAUAUAUGCAUGUGGAAGGCUGGAUGGUGAAAACAGAGGAGGGCACUACAUGGGGAUAGAGCAGUAAUGAAUUGCUGUGCACACUGUUCUUUUUCGUGGCUACCUCUCCUAGUCUUUAAACUGUCACUGAAGAGUAGCUUUGAACAAGCUGCAAAAUCCUGAAGGGUCAUAACCCAGGGGAGGAGAGACUCCAGGAGCGUGCACCAGGGAAGAUGCAGAUGGAUAAACAAGCCAUAAAAUGCACCAUAUUUUCUCCUUUCUAGCAUUUCACUGAAGAGUUGACUCCAGGCCAUUACUCUCAGAAAGUGAAAUUUCUAAAACAGCCAAUCCCAAGCAAAUCUACACCAAUGCCCAGUUGGCUGGCUUUCCCCAUCACUAAUGAAACCCAGGAGGGUCCUGAGGUGAGGUGUGACAAUUUGUGGGGCAGAGUGAAGAUCACAGAGGCGAGAAACCUAUCACCUCUCUUUUCAUAUCCUGAGGAGCAUAUGGGCCAGACUCAGUGUGUGCAGGGUUCUCGUGGCCGAGACAGCAGAUGGGCACGCACUGCAGCAGUGCCCCUGCCUCCGUUCCAGUCCAUCCUUUUCAAAGGUGCCUUAACUGACAGCAUUCCCAUCUGGCAGGCACUUUGUACGUGGUGAACAGAAGUCAACACACCAUUUGUGAGGAACUAGGUGAAUCUACCUACAGAUGGUGGAAAGGAGACAGUGGGAUGAGAAGUAGAGAAAAAUCUAAACUGCUGCCCCACUGGCAGUGGGUUCCUGACCCUGGAUUCCGUAACUGGCACAUGGAUGAGGCUUACAAGAUUUCAUCCAUCUGAUGCAAAGCAAUGAAGUUGCUGUUGAUGCAGUGUGGGGGGAAGAGGAUGGGGUCUCUAGGAGCUGAGCUAUUAUCUGCAGCAAUUCUGCAUUUUAGACAUCUCUGCUUAUUUCUUUUUGGAUCAUGGGAUCAGGGUUGGCCAGCCCUCUCAAAAUGUGUCAACAGAGUCAGGGUCAAGUCAAUCCUUAGAUAGGGAUCAUCAGGGGCUCUUUUUUGCUCACUCUGCCUUUCCCACAGGCUGAAACCUGGAUCACCAACCACGCAGUGACAAAAUCCUAGGGACUGGUUGGGCCACAAGCUGGAAAAUAGCUUGAGUCCUUAAUGCACCAUGUAGAAGGAAGCCCUUAGCAACUAGAGACACGCAUUUAGACUUCUAUUUGGAGCAGAAAAUAACUCAUCAUCUUUUUUGUCAACAGAUAAUCUACUUUAAUGAUAAAUUAUCAUUCUGGGAUUAUUUUCUAUUAUACUCUUAGAUUAAUUCUACUCUCAAUCUUGUCUUCAUUUUGCUUGGGAGUGUUUAUUAGAGUAUUUGUGAGAUAAGUUUUUUUUUUUCCUUGAGAAAAAAGUACCAAGGAAGCAAACUUUUUGAAUCCUUAUAUAGGUGGACAUUGGCCUUGCUGCAUGGAUACCUAUACCUUUUACAUCUUUUCUCACAUUAAAAAUUAUCUUGUCCUUUGUUGUAUAUUAAAAAAAAAAAAAACACCUUCCCUCUGAAUGUUGAAGGCAUUGCUUUAUUAUCUUCUAGUACCCAAUGCUGUUAUGAGACAUUCAUGAUUUUUAAAAAAGUAUCACAGCUCACUUGGCUAAUCCUUCGCCUGCGGCACCGGCACCCCAGGGUUCUAGUCCCGGUUGGGGCGCCGGAUUCUGUCCCAGUUGCUCCUUUUCCAGUCCAGCUGUCUGCUGUGGCCUGGGAAGGCAGUGGAGGAUGGCCCAAGUGCUUGGGCCCUGCACCCACAUGGGAGACCAGGAGGAGGCACCUGAACCCUGGCUUUGGAUUGGCGCAGUGCACCGGCCGUAGCGACCAUUUGGGGGGUGAACCAACGGAGGGAAGACCUUUCUCUCUGUCUCCCUCUCUCACUGUCUGACUCUGCCUGUCAAAAAAAAAAAAAAAAAAAGUAUCAGAAGAUACAAACAAGAAACAUGCAAAAGAGAAAUAAAAGCUCUCAGCAUGCAAAUGUAGAAAUUAUAUCUCUGGCAAGUAGGCAUUAGACAUUAAAGAGAACCCACUUUUUUCUCUAUAAGAUUGACUAAAAUAAUAAAAAUGGUAAUACCCAAUAUUGGUGCAGAUUCAGGAAAUAGGUAGUUUAUUCUUAGAUGUUGUCAAUGGAUGAGAAAAUUGGUAUGAACUUUCUGGAGGACACAUUUAUAGUAUUAUAGUUAAAGUAGUUAAAAUCAGUUCCUUUUAACUUUUUAGAUUUUUUUUCUAGCUGUACACAUUUAGAUUCUUGUUUUUAUCCUAGUGUAGAAGAAUUUCAUGGAGAUGUGUUUAUGUGAAAAGCUGUUUUUAUUCAUCAUUUUAGCACUUA